UGUUAUUUAUCAGUGGAGACAGUUUUCAAAAAAUUUCAUCCAGUCGUUCCAGUUGCAUAGUUCGCCGGUGCUAGGCUAGCGCGAGUCAACGGUAACUGCUAGCCUGCCAUUAAAACAGUUUUACCCACUCCACAGUACACCAACAGCAAAUAAAUUAUAACGCCAGACUAUCGAUGUAAAUGUCUGUUGAGAGAAUAAUGUUAGAAAUCAAACUACCCUUUCAUUGCAUUGCAAUAGUUAUACUUUGUUCCCUGUAUUUAUUAGCGCACUCUACAGCAGCGGCGGAGUGAUAUGUAGUUACCUAGGCAACCGAGAGAGGUAGUUCCGACUGUAGUGCGCUUCGGUUCUGUGUUUACUUUUCGGCGCAGUACUACUAACCGGAGCAAAGUAAAA